AAGGGCUUAGCUUAAUUAAAGUGUCUGUUUUGCAUUCAGGAGAUGUGAGUUAUAGUCUUGCAGUCCUUA
rnacentral:tRNA from 1 species